UACGGAGGAUCCAAGCGUUAUCCGGAUUUAUUGGGUUUAAAGGGUGCGUAGGCGGAUUGAUAAGUUAGAGGUGAAAUGUCCGAGCUUAACUCGGGAACUGCCUCUAAUACUGUUGAUCUAGAGAGUAGAUGCGGUAGGCGGAAUGUAUGGUGUAGCGGUGAAAUGCUUAGAGAUCAUACAGAACACCGAUUGCGAAGGCAGCUUACCAAUCUAUAUCUGACGUUGAGGCACGAAAGCGUGGGGAGCAAGCAGG
rnacentral:rRNA from 1 species